rnacentral:rRNA from 1 species
UACGUAGGCAGCGAGCGUUGUUCGGAGUUACUGGGCGUAAAGCGUGCGUAGGCGGUUGUCUAAGUCUGGUGUGAAAUCUCCCGCUCAACUGGGAGGGUGCGCCGGAAACUGGAUGACUGGAGUGCCGGAGAGGUAAGCGGAAUUCCUGGUGUAGCGGUGAAAUGCGUAGAGAUCAGGAGGAACACCUGUGGUGUAGACAGCUUACUGGACCAUGACUGACGCUGAGGCACGAAAGCGUGGGGAGCAAACAGG